UCCCGGGUGGCUCAGAUGGUAACGAAUCUGCCUGUAAUGCAGGAGACCCGGGUUCGAUUCCUGGGUUGGGAA
rnacentral:tRNA from 1 species